UCCUUUGUCUCGGAUUCCUGUGGCCUUCCCACGGUCGAAGCCAACUCUCUGAGCCGCAGCUUGGUCAUGUAUGCCUGCAACAAGAAUGUGGAACUGGCCAUCCACUCCUCCUCGGUGCUCAUCACCAACAGCCAGAGCAAGGCAGCCUCCAGCACCCUGAUCCUCAGCAUCUUCACCCCCAAUGCGCUCAUGAUCGCCAUGCACGCAAACGGCUCCCUGAACCAGUGGGCGGUCAGCUUCGCCUGCCUUCUCAACCGUUCUGCCUUCUCAACCGUUCUUAGCGUGUCGCACAAGUAGCGCUACUGCGGCCACUGCUUCCACCUCAACAACCUGGCCUGCCACUCCCUGUUGCCCCUGCUCCUCACCACCUCGCACCACAAUGCCAUGCGCACCCCCGACGUGGACAGUGUCAUGGCCGCCCUCUCCCAGCCCAUCAGGGGCAGGCCCUGCCGGGUGUCCCUGGGUGCCAUGUCGAAGUACCCAAAUGCCAUUUACAGCAAGCUCAUCCUGUGGAAGGUGGACCCUGGUGGAGCCCUUGUCCUUCUCUGGAGGGGUAUCUGAGCUAGCCAGGAAAAACCUUCUCCACUCCUACGCCUUCUCCAACAGCCUGGCUGCCCACACUCAUCCCUAGCAACUGCCUUGGUGUCUACUGCAACUCACCCAGUGCCUGCUUCGUGGCCAGUGAUGGUCAUUGAAGCCAAGAAACUACUCAAUGAGCUCUACAACCCUGAGAUAUCAGGGAACGAGUCUUCUCCUGUCUGUCUUAAAGGCCUCCACAUUUGGAUUCAUUUGGGGGAAUGUUUCCGACAACCUUCAAGAAGCUGCUCUCCUCCUGACCAUAGGGCACUUUGAUCUGCCUCACAGGAUACUCUAAAGAUACUGAGAUAUGGAAACAUUAUUUAAAUCUAAUAAAUUAUCCUAAUAUAGAACAGGGACAGUCCAUGAUCUUUAAAUCAGUAAAAUAACCUUCAAUAAGUCUGUUUAAUCUCAAGACAGAUUCACACCUAGCUUACUUACAAAGCAAGCACUGUCCUCAUGCAUAUAGGGAAAAUGUACCUAUCCUGUUCAGCUGCAGGAUGUUAGGGUCAGCGAUGCUUCUCCCGGUUUGCCGCCUUUGGACUCCAGCAAUAUUCCAUCUCCUGAACGAUUGAAAUCUGACAUGUGCAAACGUUAUAAAAGUUACAAUAAUGACACUCAGCAUAGUCGACGCCGCCCAUACUCGCGCACCCCACGGUAACGUUAGCUGUUGCAAUCAUUAGCUAGCUAACGUUACUAGGUAGUUGUGCCGGUUAAUGUUGACUUUUGUCAGGUAUUACCUAACCUUCCAGAAUUAAUCCUACCUUUGAACCACCCGAUCCUCCUGGGGUGGUUGUAAAGGUGGUUUCACUUCGCUGGCAAAAUGUAAAAAGCAGUCAUGUUUUCAAGGUUCGACAUGACUUGGUCAUUUGUUGGUGAUGAUGAAUGAGAAGUUUUUCAUAUAGUGAUUGGCCAACAUUUGCAUAUAGUUUACAUAUUGUUAUUUGAUGUGUCAAAUAGUGUUAUUUGACAUGUAUCUUUUUGACACACAAUGAC